UACGUAGGGUGCGAGCGUUGUCCGGAAUUAUUGGGCGUAAAGGGCUCGUAGGCGGUUUGUCGCGUCGGGAGUGAAAACCAUGGGCUUAACUCAUGGCUUGCUUCCGAUACGGGCAGACUAGAGGUAUGCAGGGGAGAACGGAAUUCCUGGUGUAGCGGUGAAAUGCGCAGAUAUCAGGAGGAACACCGGUGGUGUAGACGGCUCACUGGACCGUAACUGACGCUGAGACACGAAAGCGUGGGUAGCAAACAGG
rnacentral:rRNA from 1 species